CGAAGACGAAGUUCAUGGCCACGAACAGCGACAGGCUGUCCUUGCCGGCGCUAAUGUAGACGCCCUGCGCGCGACCGAGGAGCCUCGACGUCAGGCUGGGCCCCUCGGUGAGCGGGUCGUCGAUGACAAGCACGGUGCCGAAGCCGGUGGCAGAGGUGUUGGAGGACGGCGCCUGCGCCACCUGCACCACCCUCGCGUUCGGCCCGCCGCUCACCACGUCGUGCCAGUACACCCGCAGCCGGGUCUCCUUCUCGGCCGCCGACGCCGGCGCCGCUGCGGCCGCGAGGAGCAGGAGCGCGGCCAGGCAGGAGAGAGCGGUGCUGCUCGCCAUUGGGAUCAGCUAGCUAGUAAGCUAGGAAUGGAUGUUGGUGAUCUGAUGCGAUGCGAUUGCUUAGCUCUUCCUGAGGAGCUCUGGUUUGUGC
rnacentral:rRNA from 1 species